rnacentral:rRNA from 1 species
GUAGGUGGCAAGCGUUGUCCGGAAUUAUUGGGCGUAAAGCGCGCGCAGGCGGUCCUUUAAGUCUGAUGUGAAAGCCCACGGCUCAACCGUGGAGGGUCAUUGGAAACUGGGGGACUUGAGUACAGAAGAGGAAAGCGGAAUUCCAAGUGUAGCGGUGAAAUGCGUAGAGAUUUGGAGGAACACCAGUGGCGAAGGCGGCUUUCUGGUCUGUAACUGACGCUGAGGCGCGAAAGCGUGGGGAGCAAACAGGGGGUUAGAUACCCUGGUAGUCCACGCCGUAAACGAUGAGUGCUAAGUGUUAGGGGGUUUCCCGCCCCCCUUAGUGCUGCAGCUAACGCAUUAAGCACUCCGCCUGGGGAGUACGGCCGCAAGGCUG